ensembl:snRNA U1 U1 spliceosomal RNA
AUACUUAUCUGGCAGGGGAGAUACCAUGGUCAUGAAGGUGGUUUUCCCGCGGUGAGGCUCACUCAUUGUAUUCCAGGUGUGCUGACCUCUGUGAUUUCCUCAAAUGUGAAAAAUUCACCUGCAUAAUUUGUGGUAGCGUGGGGCUGCGUUUCUGCUUUCCCCUG